UCACUGUAACAGUCUAGCUGAGAUUCAGGCAAAAACACCCCCUAGGUGAGCUGGUGAGGUCGUGACUCGUCAGAGCGAAGCAAGCGCCGUUUGCUCGCCCCGUCCGACAACGGACCCCGCGCAUCGCCACUCUGACCGACGGGACCCGCGCCAUCCCCUUCCACGAGCCACGCAGCCUUUUUCUACACCACUCGGACACAGCUCACUGACUACUGGGACCGGAAGUGUUGGGGCGCCGACGUCAGUGGGCGCCUGACGUCGGCGCUGAGACGGACACCGGUUCCCCGGUUCCGGUGGCACAAAGCGACAGGCGCCUCACGCUCGCGUCCCUCCUCCCCUUCUCUUCCCCGUUCCAAGCAAGAGAGAAACGCACGCGAGGCGACUAGAGCUGCGCGGCGCCAUCCCGAUCUCGCCAUUUCCCUUCCCCCGAUGCGACCAAACCCUAAUCCCGUCCACCACCCGGCCGUCGCCGGAGCCCUAGCGCCGAAUGCGGCGGUGACGCGCGGCACCACCACCGCUUGAGCGGGCGUGCGCGCCCCGCGGUCCUCCUGCCGCCGAGGCCGAGGCCGAUCGCCAUGGGCACCGCCGACAAGUGGCUACUCCCGCUCGUCUCCGUCUCCUUCGUCUCGCUCCUGCUCUUCCUCUCUGCGCUCUCCGGUUUCUCCGCCUCCUCCGCGCUCUUCGCCCGCCUCCCGCCGCCCUCCUACGUCCGCCGGGGCGCCGCCGCGCCGCCCUCCUUGGCGUACCUGCUCGCGGGCGGGCGAGGGGACGGGAGGAAGCUCCUGCGGCUGCUCCUGGCCGUCUACCACCCGAGGAACCGCUACCUGCUCCACCUCUCCGCGGACGCGUCAGAGUCCGAGCGCGCCGAGCUGGCCGUGGCCGUCGCUCGCGCCGCCCCCGCCGUGCGCGCUUUCGGGAAUGUCGACGUCGUCGGACGCCCCACCGCGGGCACCCCCAUGGGAUCCUCCGGACUUGCCGCCACUCUCCGCGCAGCCGCCGCUCUGCUCCGGCUGGAUUCGGAGUGGGACUGGUUCGUCACGCUCAACGCCGCCGACUACCCUCUUCUCACCCAGGACGACAUGAUUCAUGUCUUCUCCUCCGUUCCGAGGCACCUCAACUUCAUUGAUCACACCAGUGACAUUGGAUGGAAAGAGUCUCAGAGAGUGCAACCAAUCAUAGUAGAUGCUGGAAUAUACUUGGCAGGGAGGAAUCAGUUCUUCCAAGCCACAGAGAAACGGGCUACUCCUGAUGGUUUCAAAAUUUUCACAGGUUCUCCAUGGGUCAUUCUAAACCGACGCUUUAUAGAAUAUUGUAUUUUUGGUUGGGAGAAUCUCCCUAGAACACUCCUCAUGUACUUCACUAAUGUGAUGCUACCUCAGGAGGGGUAUUUCCAUUCGGUUGUAUGCAACUCAGACUUCCGUAAUUUCACAGUGAACGACGACUUGCGGUAUAUGGUGUGGGACGAUCCACCUCAGAUGGAACCCCAUUUCCUUAAUGUUACACAUUAUGAUGAGAUAGUGGAGAGUGGUGUACCUUUUGCUCGGAAGUUUCGGGAAAAUGAACCGCUAUUGGACAAGAUUGAUGAGAAAAUACUUCAACGUUGGCGUCACAGACCUGUUCCUGGUGCCUGGUGCACAGGCAGAAGGGGGUGGUUCAGUGAUCCAUGUUCCCAGUGGAGCAACGUUAACAUUGUAAGACCUGGCCCUCAAGCUGAGAAAUUCCGCAGAUAUAUGAAUCAGAUUUUAGAAGAAUCAAAGUCAGGCAACAACUCCUGCAAGCAAUAGCAGCUUGAAGCAUGAGGCUUCAUUUUCCAUGGUUGAAGUGUUGAGCUUUUCUCGUUUUCCGCAGAGGGGCUCCACGCUCUCCAUGCCUCUAGAAUUUCAGCAUGCCCACUUCCGAAGCCUGCAUUUUUUGACCUGGGUUAUGAGCCAAGGAAUCAAGAUAAAUCCCCGCAUUCCAAACAGGGCUUUCAUUUCAGCUCGAUGAACACCGGGAUGUCCUCAGGAGAAGAGUCCCAUAUGGCGUCCGGGACGAAGAGGAACGCUCUCGCUUGGUACGGCCUUGGUAGCCGAUCGAUGCCGUCGGCCUGCCCGGACAGCGAGAGCACGCCCGCCUUGCCGACCACCUCGAUCCUGUACCUGAACUCCUCCUCGAACGGCUCGUCCAUGAGCCGAACCACCGACAGCGCGCGCCCUGACGGCACGUCUCGCGCGACGACGAGCAGGAACUCCGCCGUGCCAGGGCCGAGGCA